rnacentral:rRNA from 1 species
UUGGUUAAGUUAGAAAGGGCGCACGGUGGAUGCCUUGGCACUAGGAGCCGAAGAAGGACGGGACUAACACCGAUAUGCUUUGGGGAGCUGUACGUAAGCGUUGAUCCAGAGAUUUCCGAAUGGGGGAACCCACUAUCUUUAGUCGGAUAGUAUCCUUACGUGAAUACAUAGCGUGAGGAAGGCAGACCCAGGGAACUGAAACAUCUAAGUACCUGGAGGAAGAGAAAGAAAAAUCGAUUUCCUGAGUAGCGGCGAGCGAAACGGAAAGAGCCCAAACCAAGAAGCUUGCUUCUUGGGGUUGUAGGACACUCUAUACGGAGUUACAAAAGAAAGUUAUAAAUGAAGCGGUCUGGAAAGGCCCGCCAAAGACGGUAACAGCCCGGUAGUUGAAAUGGCUUUCCCUCCAGAGUGGAUCCUGAGUACGGCGGAACACGUGAAAUUCCGUCGGAAUCCGGGAGGACCAUCUCCCAAGGCUAAAUACUCCCUAGUGACCGAUAGUGAACCAGUACCGUGAGGGAAAGGUGAAAAGCACCCCGGAAGGGGAGUGAAACAGUUCCUGAAACCGUGUGCCUACAAGUAGUUAGAGCCCGUUAAUGGGUGAUAGCGUGCCUUUUGUAGAAUGAACCGGCGAGUUACGAUUUGUUGCAAGGUUAAGCGGAAAAAGCGGAGCCGUAGCGAAAGCGAGUCUGAAUAGGGCGCAUAAGUAACAGGUCGUAGACCCGAAACCAGGUGAU